AGAUUCCUUAAACAUUCUCAAAUCUAAUCUGUUGCCAAGUCCUUUGGAUUCUCAAUGCCACCACCCUGGUAGAGGCUCUUAUCACUUCAUGGCUAGACUACUUGCCUCUCUCAAGAAUGUCCCCAUUCCACUCCAUCCUCAGGCAUCUAAAUGAUCUUUCUAAAGUACAGGUAGUGAAGAUCUUGAAGGCUGGGAGAGUUUUUGCCUUUCUUUGCAUUCUUUGAUAAGCCAGGGUUUACAAAAGUAUCUGGCAUAUAGAAGCCCUUCCCUCAUCCACAAAUUGAGAAGGCAAGUAGUAGAAUAUCAAUUAUACAAGUCAUGCAAAACAUUUCUACAUUAGCCAUGUUGCAAAAAAAAAAGGUAAAAAAUAAAAUAAAUGUAAAAAGUAUGCUUUAAUCUGCACUCAAGAGUUCAUCAGUUCUCCCACUGGGUAUAAAUAGCAUUUUUCAUCAUGAGUUCUUUGGAAUGUCUUGGAUCACUAUAUUGAUUAGAGUAGCUAAGUCUUUCACACUUGAUUAUUGUUAUAAUAGAGCAUGGAUUCUUAACCAUAUUUGUGUCAUAGAUGUCCUUGGCAGUCUGGUGAAAGCUGUAUAAUUGAAAAUCUGUUACCCUAAAAAAAGAACUACAUUUCCCAGGAGCCCACUGACUUCCUGUCCUUGCAGACUUCCUGUAGACAUGGGAUAUUAGGCAAGGACACAAAGGCUUCCAUCUCUUUACUUCUGAUCCCAGGUUUGGUGGUGGUAAGGCGGGUGUUUGAACUGGCUGAUCAGCCAUUAUUUUGUAUCUUCUUUAUUCCUUGGUUUCUAAUGAUCAUUAAUAAAUCUCUUAAAAUAGAAUAUU